GUGUGAAUUGCAGAAUCCCGUGAACCAUCGAGUUUUUGAA
rnacentral:rRNA from 1 species